rnacentral:lncRNA from 1 species
AACGCACAACGGAAAUCUUCAUCCCGCCCACUGCCUCUCCAUCCCUCAGACCCUUCUGGAGCGGUGCCAUUGGCUGUGCCCUCUGCCUGUCUCCAGGGUCUUCAUGAAUCACCAGUCUCAGAAAAGCAGGUGCUGGAGAACCUGCAGCCCAAGUCUACAGCAGUUUAGAUGGCAGCUUUUCCUGGGGUUCAGGAGCCUGCUCUGAAGAUUGGGCCAAGGCCCUGGGGAUACUCAUGGCCCAAUCUAUCUUUUUCCUUCAGUCCGCUCCAGAAUUCAGAUUUCCAGCCGUCUGAACUCGGCAUAGAUCAUCAGCAGAUCCAACAAAAGGAGCAUGGGAACCUUUUCUAUCCCUUUCAAACCUCCAACCGCUCUGUCCCGCACUCCCCUUCAUCUCCUAAUUUAAAUGGAAAAAAAUAGACAUUGGCAGCCAGGAAACACCUUCGUUUUCCUUCCAAAUCCACUAACCUAUUUUCAUCUGUGUUUAUCUUUCUUCCCUCUUGUCACAAGGCAGAAGGGCAGCGACCCUUCGCAUGGGGGGAGGCCAGUCUUCCCUUGUGAGUUCCCGAUCCCAUCCCCAGGCCGUCUCAGAGACCCUGCCCCACUGCUUAGCCCCUCUGCUCCCUGAAUCCUGUCACUGCCUCUCUAACGGGACCUUGCCAUCAGCAUCCGAACAGUGCCUCCUUUCUGACCGUCCCUAUCCACAACACACUCUGUCCUCUUCACAGUCAAGCCCUUUGAAGAGCAGACACCUGCCCACACGCGCUGCCUCCACCUCCCCACCUUGGAGUCACCUUCCACUCUUCCCAUUUGGUGAGCUUCAGUUUGUCAGAACCAGUUGGGAUGCAACAGGAUUUUCAGUUUUGCUGUCUUCCAUGCAUGAAUGGCUAGGAAACCAACAUGGCUUUGCCUGCCAAUGGAGAGAAGUGGAGAAGAAUGCUUCAAGGCAGAGAGCUUGGACUCCACAGAAAUGGCUAAAAGGGACAGACAUAAAAGAAACUCAACUUGAUUCAAGGUUUCUGAGCACUUGCUGCUUGAUUAAGCUUUCCUCUAGGUUCAUUGGCCUCUAUGUUCCGUCUGGUCCAGG